UGGGGAAUUUUCCGCAAUGGGCGAAAGCCUGACGGAGCAAUACCGCGUGAGGGAGGAAGGCUCUUGGGUUGUAAACCUCUUUUCUCAGGGAAGAAAAAAUGACGGUACCUGAGGAAUAAGCAUCGGCUAACUCCGUGCCAGCAGCCGCGGUAAUACGGAGGAUGCAAGCGUUAUCCGGAAUGAUUGGGCGUAAAGCGUCCGCAGGUGGCUGUGUAAGUCUGCUGUUAAAGAGCAAAGCUCAACUUUGUAAGAGCAGUGGAAACUACACGGCUAGAGUGCGUUCGGGGCAGAGGGAAUUCCUGGUGUAGCGGUGAAAUGCGUAGAGAUCAGGAAGAACACCGGUGGCGAAGGCGCUCUGCUAGGCCGCAACUGACACUGAGGGACGAAAG
rnacentral:rRNA from 1 species